rnacentral:rRNA from 1 species
GGACGAACGCUGGCGGCGUGCUUAACCCAUGCAAGUCGAACGGAAAGGCCCUGCUUUUGUGGGGUGCUCGAGUGGCGACCGGGUGAGUAACACGUGAGUAACCUGCCCUUGACUUUGGGAUAACUUCAGGAAACUGGGGCUAAUACCGGAUAGGAGCUCCUGCUGCAUGGUGGGGGUUGGAAAGUUUCGGCGGUUGGGGAUGGACUCGCGGCUUAUCAGCUUGUUGGUGGGGUAGUGGCUUACCAAGGCUUUGACGGGUAGCCGGCCUGAGAGGGUGACCGGCCACAUUGGGACUGAGAUACGGCCCAGGCUCCUACGGGAGGCAGCAGUGGGGAAUAUUGCACAAUGGGCGGAAGCCUGAUGCAGCAACGCCGCGUGCGGGAUGACGGCCUUCGGGUUGUAAACCGCUUUCGCCUGUGACGAAGCGUGAGUGACGGUAAUGGGUAAAGAAGCACCGGCUAACUACGUG